rnacentral:rRNA from 1 species
GGAAUAUUGGGCAAUGGAUGCAAGUCUGACCCAGCCAUGCCGCGUGCCGGAUGAAGGCCCUCAGGGUUGUAAACGGCUUUUAUCUGGGAAGAAGACCGGGGAUGCGUCCCCGGGUGACGGUACCCGAGUAAUAAGCCCCGGCUAACUCCGUGCCAGGAGCCGCGGUAAUACGGAGGGUGCGAGCGUUGCCCGGAUUUCUUGGGUUUAAAGGGUGCGUAGGUGGCCUGGUAAGUCAGUGGUGAAAUGCGGCCGCUCAACGGUCGAACUGCCAUUGAUACUGCCGGGCUUGAGACAGAUGGAGGCCGCCGGAACGGAUGGUGUAGCGGUGAAAUGCAUAGAUAUCAUCCAGAACACCGAUUGCGAAGGCAGGUGGCUACGCCUGGUCUGACACUGAGGCACGAAAGCAUGGGGAGCAAAC